rnacentral:lncRNA from 1 species
AAAAUAUUGUUCCAAGGUACACAAGUUUUUCAGCUGAGAUACAUUGUUUCCAAAGAAUCUAAAAUGGCGUUUACGGCGUUUUUGCGUUGCACGGCAGAUUUAGAAUCCCUUCAUACUGAGAGUCAAGACAAUGUGAAUCCAUUUCUGAUUGGUUACCGUAUUUUAGGCCUCCACGGUGUCACAAACGGAAAUAAAGAUUACAUUUUCACCGAUUGCAAAGAUUAUAAUCUGGAAUGGACCGAGGAAUUACGAGUUCGGCAAGGAACAAACGGAAUGAGAGAAGGAACGGAGAAAGGAAUUUGAGAAUGGGCCGAUCAAAGAUUACGAAAAACGUUCGAUUUGUGUAAUCUUUAUUCCCGUUUGUGACUCCAUGAGGGGGGGGGUUGUCUUGACUUACAGUGUGGAGGGACUCUAGGCGCAUCUAAGCCCAUUAUUCCUCCAAUAACAAAAGAAAACUCGUGAAUUUCCAGCUCGAAGCGGCAACGCUGUGCGCGAGUCGCGGUGGCGGGAGAACCGCGGGGUGGCGGCACUCGCGAUUGUUACAAACGCGAACAAUCGCGCUCCGUCCGCUGGAACCGCGUCCGCGUGUGCUCAUGCUCGUGUCCGACCGGCCUCCGCGUGCGUAACGCUCCCUCUCCCGUGCGUAACGCUGCGCUCCUUGUCCCGUGCGUAACGCUUUCCCGUGAGCUUUUCCCCGGUGUUUUGUGCUCUGCACGAGCUUUGGAUUUUUUGGCCCAGGGAUUUUCUCGAUAGACGACAGGAUGCCCCCGGCCACCGAGAGGAUAGAUCUGGAAGAUGAUCAGCGGUUCGCUCUCAUGAAAUUCCGCAGGAAUGUCAAGGAUAUUUGCACGAAACCCGACCACGAUGACCACUUCUUGCUACGUUGGCUCAAGGACUUGCGGCUGUAUUCUCGGAUGAAAUUUAGUACCCGUAUUACGCUAAGCGAAGGCAUGUCCGAUAAGGGAAUUCCAGAGAGCGAAAGCACGGCAAUCCCGAACGAAUGCGGUGUUCUGAGAAAACUGUUACUUCAUCUCUUCGAGCUGCUCCGCUCCCUUUCUGCCGUGCUGAGAACAAAAAGCCGUAAGAACCUUCAGGUGCUGCCAAAUUUCCUUAGAUACAACGCGAAGUUCCCGGUAAAUUUGUGAAUAUUUUCCUUCCAAUUUUUUAGAUGAUUUAGUUCGCAAUUUCACUUAAAGAUUCUGAAAAUUUAAAGGAAAAAUAUUUACAUACAUACAUACAUACAUACAUAAGAGUCGCUCUCACAGCGCUCUCCGGCGCUCUGCGACGCCUAAACGCCACAAAACUCGGUCCUCCCACAGAUCAUCAGGGAGUUGGCACUCCCGUAUUUCAUCCAUAACCCCCUGUCGCCAACCUUUCACCGGGCGUCCCUUUCGUCUCCUCCCAGGAGGAACCCAAUCAAGCAUCUUUUUUGGCAGCCUCUCUUCCGUCAUCCUAUUGACAUGACCGUACCAGACAAGCUGUUUGGUCAUGACGUCGAACACGAUGUCAUUUUCGACCUCCAUGAUAUGACGUACUCUCUCAUUACGGAC